rnacentral:Y_RNA from 1 species
GGCUGGUCCAAAGGUAGUGAGUUAUCUCACUUGAUUGUUCACAGUCAGUUACAGAUUGAACUCCUUGUUCUACUCUUUCCCCCCUUCUCACUACUGCACUUGACUAAUAAAA